GUUUCUGUCAGGCUGUGGGGUAACUGGUCCUGCUGACUCCAUUUGUGGUGUGUGUUUCUGUCAGGCUGUGGGGUAACUGGUCCUGCUGACUCCAUUUGUGGUGUGUGUUUCUGUCAGGCUGUGGGGUAACUGGUCCUGCUGACUCCAUUUGUGGUGUGUGUUUCUGUCAGGCUGUGGGGUAACUGGUCCUGAUGACUCCAUUUGUGGUGUGUGUUUCUGUCAGGCUGUGGGGUAACUGGUCCUGAUGACUCCAUUUGUGGUGUGUGUUUCUGUCAGGCUGUGGGGUAACUGGUCCUGCUGACUCCAUUUGUGGUGUGUGUUUCUGUCAGGCUGUGGGGUAACUGGUCCUGCUGACUCCAUUUGUGGUGUGUGUUUCUGUCAGGCUGUGGGGUAACUGGUCCUGAUGACUCCAUUUGUGGUGUGUGUUUCUGUCAGGCUGUGGGGUAACUGGUCCUACUGACUCCAUUUGUGGUGUGUGUUUCUGUCAGGCUGUGGGGUAACUGGUCCUGAUGACUCCAUUUGUGGUGUGUGUUUCUGUCAGGCUGUGGGGUAACUGGUCCUACUGACUCCAUUUGUGGUGUGUGUUUCUGUCAGGCUGUGGGGUAACUGGUCCUGAUGACUCCAUUUGUGGUGUGUGUUUCUGUCAGGCUGUGGGGUAACUGGUCCUGAUGACUCCAUUUGUGGUGUGUUUCUGUCAGGCUGUGGGGUAACUGGUCCUGAUGACUCCAUUUGUGGUGUGUGUUUCUGUCAGGCUGUGGGGUAACUGGUCCUGAUGACUCCAUUUGUGGUGUGUGUUUCUGUCAGGCUGUGGGGUAACUGGUCCUGAUGACUCCAUUUGUGGUGUGUUUCUGUCAGGCUGUGGGGUAACUGGUCCUGAUGACUCCAUUUGUGGUGUGUGUUUCUGUCAGGCUGUGGGGUAACUGGUCCUGAUGACUCCAUUUGUGGUGUGUGUUUCUGUCAGGCUGUGGGGUAACUGGUGCAGGAGAGCAGAGAUGAGUGUACAAGGUCAUUUAUUCCACGAACAGCACCAGUAUAAAACAAAUACUAACGGUGCGUGAGAGGGACCAACUUUGGCAGAAGUCGUGACACCCUGAGGGUCUGUAGGAUGUGUCUCUGAAGACAACACAAAGCCUUUCAUUAAAAUGCUGUAAUGAGAACGGAUGUUAUUUAGAUACUUAUACGUUGGGAUGGAGGGAACACUGAAAGACUGAGGGAACACUGAAAGACUGAGGGAACACUGAAAGACUGAGGGAACACUGAAAGACAGAGGGAACACUGAAAGACUGAGGGAACACUGAAAGACAGAGGGAACACUGAAAGACAGAGGAAACACUGAAAGACUGAGGGAACACUGAAAGACAGAGGGAACACUGAAAGACUGAGGGAACACUGAAAGACGGAGGAAACACUGAAAGACGGAGGGAACACUGAAAGACUGAGGGAACACUGAAAGACGGAGGGAACACUGAAAGACGGAGGAAACACUGAAAGACGGAGGGAACACUGAAAGACUGAGGGAACACUGAAAGACUGAGGGAACACUGAAAGACUGAGGGAACACUGAAAGACGGAGGGAACACUGAAAGACGGAGGGAACACUGAAAGACGGAGGGAACACUGAAAGACGGAGGGAACACUGAAAGACGGAGGGAACACUGAAAGACUGAGGAACACUGAAAGACGGAGGGAACACUGAAAGACGGAGGGAACACUGAAAGACUGAGGGAACACUGAAAGACGGAGGGAACACUGAAAGACGGAGGGAACACUGAAAGACGGAGGGAACACUGAAAGACGGAGGGAACACUGAAAGACGGAGGGAACACUGAAAGACGGAGGGAACACUGAAAGACGGAGGGAACACUGAAAGACGGAGGGAACACUGAAAGACGGAGGGAACACUGAAAGACGGAGGAAACACUGAAAGACGGAGGAAACACUGAAAGACUGAGGGAACACUGAAGGACGGAGGGAAACACUGAAAGACGGAGGAAACACUGAAAGACUGAGGAAACACUGAAAGACGGAGGGAACACUGAAAGACAGAGGGAACACUGAAAGACAGAGGGAACACUGAAAGACAGAGGGAACACUGAAAGACAGAGGGAACACUGAAAGACAGAGGGAACACUGAAAGACAGAGGGAACACUGAAAGACGGAGGGAACACUGAAAGACGGAGGGAACACUGAAAGACGGAGUGAACCACUGAAAGACGGAGUGAACCACUGAAAGACGGAGGGAACACUGAAAGACUGAGGGAACACUGAAAGACUGAGGGAACACUGAAAGACUGAGGGAACACUGAAAGACAGAGGGAAGUUGGGACGGAGGGAACACUGAAAGAAGGAGGGAACACUGAAAGACGGAGGGAACACUGAAAGACGGAGGGAACACUGAAAGACAGAGGGAACACUGAAAGACAGAGGGAACACUGAAAGACAGAGGGAACACUGAAAGACUGAGGGAACACUGAAAGACUGAGGGAACACUGAAAGACUGAGGGAACACUGAAAGACUGAGGGAACACUGAAAGACUGAGGGAACACUGAAAGACUGAGGGAACACUGAAAGACUGAGGGAACACUGAAAGACUGAGGGAACACUGAAAGACAGAGGGAACACUGAAAGACAGAGGGAACACUGAAAGACUGAGGGAACACUGAAAGACUGAGGGAACACUGAAAGACUGAGGGAACACUGAAAGACUGAGGGAACACUGAAAGACUGAGGGA